rnacentral:lncRNA from 1 species
CAGCUUGCAUGUUUGCUUUGGGAAGCUGAGAUGUUCCUGAGGGUAGAAUAAUAACAGGGAGGUCUUGGUUUGUUCCAGGGAACGGGUUGAACCGAAGAGGAAGCCCUUUAGCUGGAGAACCAAAUGUGCAGUGUCCAACCGAGGACGUCCCUUGGAACUUGUUUAUGCUAUUGGGGGGUUGAGCCCUAAGGGCAAUGUCAGUGGUGUGGAGUGUUACAACCCCCUGGAACAUGAGUGGAAGGUUCUGGGCUCCGUCUCAAGGCAUCGGACUGGAGUUGGAGUGGCUCCCCUCAAUGGCUCCAUCUACGCAGUAGGAGGCCAUGAUGGCAUGGUGUGCCUCAGCAGUGUUGAGAGGUAAUUCUGCCGUGUGAUUGUGUUGUUUUAGACUUUUGUGGGGCUGGUGAUGGUGGGGCAAACUGGAAAUGCGAUGGGAAGGAGCUAACUAAAGAGGAAACUUCCGUUGACCAGGAUUUGCAGUUUCUGUGGUGGCUCUGCAUGUGGUGAUCCCUUUCACUUGAGUAGAAGUAAGAAGGGCAAGAAAGGGACGUGGGUGGUGCUGUGGGUUAAACCACAGAGCCUAGGACUU